GCGCCUCCCAGCCUUGACUGACCGUUGCCCUCCGAAGGCAAAGGUCACACGUUCGAAUCGUGUCGGGUGCGCCA
rnacentral:tRNA from 1 species